rnacentral:snRNA from 1 species
AUUGAGCACUGUACAGAUAUAGA